GGUGUGUCGCACUUAAAACGGUUUCAUAAACCCUUUGAAGAGUUGCUGGGCUUAAUCAUAAACGUUGGACAUAUUAUAUAGGUGGGGUUUCGGACGUGGACACUAAAGAAAUAGGCGAUGCAGUUUCCGGCUUUAGUCAUCUGGACUGAUUGACAGAGGGAGACAAUGUCGCUUAAAAUCAUGGAUGUCUGCAAAGCAGCCAGUGUUGAUCCCCUUCCAGACCAAUAGUUGGCAGUGUCUUCCGGCUGUCCCCAGUCCUAAACAAAGAAACAGGAAGUGGUUGUAAUUUGAAUAUGAGAAACAAAACGGUGUUAUUCUAUCCUCUGAGC